UACGUAGGUGGCAAGCGUUGUCCGGAAUUAUUGGGCGUAAAGCGCGCGCAGGCGGUUCUUAAGUCUGAUGUGAAAGCCCACGGCUCAACCGUGGAGGGUCAUUGGAAACUGGGGAACUUGAGUACAGAAGAGGAAAGCGGAAUUCCACGUGUAGCGGUGAAAUGCGUAGAGAUGUGGAGGAACACCAGUGGCGAAGGCGCUUUCUGGGUCUUACCUGACGCUGAGGAACGAAAGCCAGGGGAGCGAACGGG
rnacentral:rRNA from 1 species